rnacentral:lncRNA from 1 species
UGUGGUUCUCAGGCGGCUGAGGCUCAAGGCCUCCUCCAUUCUGUCCAGCAGCAGCUGCAGGAGCAGAUCCAGAGUUUCCAUGACCUUCAAACCACCAGAGAAGAGGAGCAAAGUCGGUUGGAGCAGCAGCUUUCAGAGAGGGCGGCUCUCCUCCAGUCUCUCCAGGAGGAACUCCAGGAACAGAAGCAAAGCAAAUCUGAUCAAGCGAAAGAGUUUGAGCAGAGAGAGUCCGAUUUGAAGCAUCAGGUGAUGCAGACUGUUGUUUUACUGCAUGUUUCAGCCCUAAACCUCAGUUUGGAAGUUCUGCCUGUUCACCUACUCCUUCCUUUCUAAAACAGCUCCUGCUUCUGACUGAGGAGCUUGAAAAAGCAGAGAGAAACCAUGUGAUCCUUCAAGAGGAAGACUGUGGUCAGAGAUCCUCAAAGGAGGAGGAGGAAGAGCUGCUCAGAGUGAUGGCGCUCACAGAGGAGAGAGAUCAGCUGCAGGAGAUCCUGGAGGGAGUCAGGGAGGAGAAGAAGCAGCUGAGAGCAGAACUGGAGGAACACAUGGAGACGGCGGCUGAGGCUCAAGGCCUCCUCCAUUCUGUCCAGCAGCAGCUGCAGGAGCAGAUCCAGAGUUUCCAUGACCUUCAAACCACCAGAGAAGAGGAGCAAAGUCGGUUGGAGCAGCAGGUUUGAUCACUGACACGUGGCUGAAGAUUUCAGCUCUUCUCCUGGUUUCACACGAAGCCAUUCUUCUCCUACUGUAGCUUUCAGAGAGGGCGGCUCUCCUCCAGUCUCUCCAGGAGGAACUCCAGGAACAGAAGCAAAGCAAAUCUGAUCAAGCGAAAGAGUUUGAGCAGAGAGAGUCCGAUUUGAAGCAUCAGGUGAUGCAGACUGUUGUUUUACUGCAUGUUUCAGCCCUAAACCUCAGUUUGGAAGUUCUUCCUGUUCACCUACUCCUUCCUUUCUAAAACAGCUCCUGCUUCUGACUGAGGAGCUUGAAAAAGCAGAGAGAAACCAUGUGAUCCUUCAAGAGGCAGACUGUGGUCAGAGAUCCUCAAAGGAGGAGGAGGAAGAGCUGCUCAGAGUGACGGCACUCACAGAGGAGAGAGAUCAGCUGCAGGAGAUCCUGGAGGGAGUCAGGGAGGAGAAGAAGCAGCUGAGAGCAGAACUGGAGGAACACAUGGAGACGGUCUGUCAGAAACCUUGUUUAAAACUUUUUCUGAGCGUCAAACCUUUCACAUGCAGCAGGUUCAAAGACGAGGAUUCAUAAAUUUAGACUUAAUCAGU